rnacentral:rRNA from 1 species
GAUGAACGCUGGCGGCGUGCCUAAUACAUGCAAGUCGAGCGAACAGAUGAGGAGCUUGCUCCUCUGACGUUAGCGGCGGACGGGUGAGUAACACGUGGAUAACCUACCUAUAAGACUGGGAUAACUUCGGGAAACCGGAGCUAAUACCGGAUAAUAUAUUGAACCGCAUGGUUCAAUAGUGAAAGACGGUUUUGCUGUCACUUAUAGAUGGAUCCGCGCCGCAUUAGCUAGUUGGUAAGGUAACGGCUUACCAAGGCAACGAUGCGUAGCCGACCUGAGAGGGUGAUCGGCCACACUGGAACUGAGACACGGUCCAGACUCCUACGGGAGGCAGCAGUAGGGAAUCUUCCGCUAUGGGCGAAAGCCUGACGGAGCAACGCCGCGUGAGUGAUGAAGGUCUUCGGAUCGUAAAACUCUGUUAUUAGGGAAGAACAAAUGUGUAAGUAACUAUGCACGUCUUGACGGUACCUAAUCAGAAAGCCACGGCUAACUACGUG